rnacentral:lncRNA from 1 species
AAUAAACAAUUGCAUAUAGUAAUGACACCAAAUGAUUUCCAGACUAAUUAAUACACUGGUAAAUGAUUCACAAAUUUUUUCUAGAUAUGAAGUUAGUAGACAGAUAGCAUCUGUUUAUAUAGUGUCAUGAAAUGAAAUAAAGUAUGGGAGGGAUCACUUACAGUAUGAUUUUUUUAAAGCAUAUGAGGACAGACACUGCACAUAAAACAAGGAAGGUUUAAUACAGAAAACUGUGGCGCUAAUCACAUUAGACUAAUUAGACACCCGGGGCAGUAAGGAAGGCAUGAGCAAUGUUCACGAACUAGAUGCUAGGGACGCCUCAAGGCUUCACUACCUGGCUUCGUGGGAGGUUCUGAGUGGAUGCUCUCUGUCUACUAAAUUCACACCUGGAAACAUUCAGCAGGUGUUAUUAAGAAUCCGAGGGGCCAGACAAAGAAACCAGAGUCGAGAGCUACAAUUUGUAUACUAAGAAAAGGCUCAGUCUACAUUAUGCCACAUAAAGAAGAUAGGCAACCUGAAUAAAAAUGCACAAAAGACAUGAACGGACACUUGAAGCAGGGGAAUCCACAUAUCUAACAGGCAUACUAGGCAUUCAAUUUCAUUGUUCAUGGGCAAUGCAUCAUUAAAACUAUAAGAGAUGCUGUAGCAUGACUCCCUGAAAGGCUGAAAUGAUAAAGACUAUUAAUACAGUGUAGUGCUAAGACCAUUGUAGGAGAGAAAUUUGUAUACCCUGAUGAUGGGAGUAUUAAUUGUCAGACACGUUCAAGGCUACUUUGCAUGAUGCAUAAACAUGAAAUGUUGUGGUGUGCAGUCUCCGGUGUAUUUAAUGUAACAUAGGUGUGCACACACGCUGUUAGACAUGCACAGGAAUUCACGGGAGCACUUUCUAAAGAAGUCUCAAGCCACAGCAGACCAAGGUUUCAGCAGGAGAGAAGAAACACUUAUAUGGCGGGAGCUGAAUACCUUGAAAUGGUUUUGUUUUGUUUGUUUGUUUGUUUGUUUUAGUAAAUGAAACAAAAAUUAUCUCAGUGGUAUGGUUGGGCUUUGGAAACAAAACACUGAACAGAAAAGACCAGAUGCAAAAGAGAAUUUAAGGAGCUAGAGAGAUAGCUCAACAAAUAAGAGCACUUGCUGCAUUCACAAGGGACUUAGGUUUGGUUCUCAGCACCCAACUCAAGUACCACGGUCUGCCUAUAAAGUUCAUCUCCAGGGGAGCCAACACCCUCUUGUGGUCUCCAGGCAAACCUGCACUCAUGUGCAUAUAGUCGCACAUAGGUACACAUAUAGACAAAGAAUUGAAAAUAAUACAAAUAUUUAAAAACUGGUAUAAAGAGGCCAGAGAGAUGGCUGAGUAGUUGAAAGCAUUGACUUCUGCUAAUUCAGAGGUCUUGAGUUCAAUUCCCAGCAACCACAUGAUAGCUCUGAUACCUUCUUCUGCUGUGUCUCAAGAGAGCAACAGGGUACUCACAUGCAUAAAAUAAGUAAUCUUUUUAAAAGACUAGUUUAAAAAAAGAAUAUUUAAGUCCUUUUAUAUAAAUUCCACCUAUAUCGAAGUUCAUUUAUAUUAAGGUCAGAGUGUGCAAUUUAUAGAGAGAGUUUCUGGGUCAGACUUGGAUAGGUUCAGCUUUUCUGAGUCCCUGCUAUAUCAGCAGGGUACUCCCUUCUACAGGCUGCUGGGAGCAGGCCUGUGAGGACCCUCAGAGACUUCCGUGCUUCUGACUUGGGUGGUAUUUACAGAGGUGUUUGCUUUUUGAUAAU